ensembl:snRNA U6 U6 spliceosomal RNA
UUGCUUCCACAGCACAUAUGCUAAAAAUUAGAACAAUACAGAGAAACUUAGCAUGGCCUCUGCACCAGGAUGGCAUGCAAAUUCCUGAAUCAUUCCAUUAAAAA